rnacentral:rRNA from 1 species
AAUGGGUCAGCGACUUAUAUUCUGUAGCAAGGUUAACCGAAUAGGGGAGCCGAAGGGAAACCGAGUCUUAACUGGGCGUUAAGUUGCAGGGUAUAGACCCGAAACCCGGUGAUCUAGCCAUGGGCAGGUUGAAGGUUGGGUAACACUAACUGGAGGACCGAACCGACUAAUGUUGAAAAAUUAGCGGAUGACUUGUGGCUGGGGGUGAAAGGCCAAUCAAACCGGGAGAUAGCUGGUUCUCCCCGAAAGCUAUUUAGGUAGCGCCUCGUGAAUUCAUCUCCGGGGGUAGAGCACUGUUUCGGCAAGGGGGUCAUCCCGACUUACCAACCCGAUGCAAACUGCGAAUACCGGAGAAUGUUAUCACGGGAGACACACGGCGGGUGCUAACGUCCGUCGUGAAGAGGGAAACAACCCAGACCGCCAGCUAAGGUCCCAAAGUCAUGGUUAAGUGGGAAACGAUGUGGGAAGGCCCAGACAGCCAGGAUGUUGGCUUAGAAGCAGCCAUCAUUUAAAGAAAGCGUAAUAGCUCACUGGUCGAGUCGGCCUGCGCGGAAGAUGUAACGGGGCUAAACCAUGCACCGAAGCUGCGGCAGCGACGCUGAUGCGUUGUUGGGUAGGGGAGCGUUCUGUAAGCCUGUGAAGGUGUGCUGUGAGGCAUGCUGGAGGUAUCAGAAGUGCGAAUGCUGACAUAAGUAACGAUAAAGCGGGUGAAAAGCCCGCUCGCCGGAAGACCAAGGGUUCCUGUCCAACGUUAAUCGGGGCAGGGUGAGUCGACCCCUAAGGCGAGGCCGAAAGGCGUAGUCGAUGGGAAACAGGUUAAUAUUCCUGUACUUGGUGUUACUGCGAAGGGGGGACGGAGAAGGCUAUGUUGGCCGGGCGACGGUUGUCCCGGUUUAAGCGUGUAGGCUGGUUUUCCAGGCAAAUCCGGAAAAUCAAGGCUGAGGCGUGAUGACGAGGCACUACGGUGCUGAAGCAACAAAUGCCCUGCUUCCAGGAAAAGCCUCUAAGCAUCAGGUAACAUCAAAUCGUACCCCAAACCGACACAGGUGGUCAGGUAGAGAAUACCAAGGCGCUUGAGAGAACUCGGGUGAAGGAACUAGGCAAAAUGGUGCCGUAACUUCGGGAGAAGGCACGCUGAUAUGUAGGUGAAGCGACUUGCUCGUGGAGCUGAAAUCAGUCGAAGAUACCAGCUGGCUGCAACUGUUUAUUAAAAACACAGCACUGUGCAAACACGAAAGUGGACGUAUACGGUGUGACGCCUGCCCGGUGCCGGAAGGUUAAUUGAUGGGGUUAGCGCAAGCGAAGCUCUUGAUCGAAGCCCCGGUAAACGGCGGCCGUAACUAUAACGGUCCUAAGGUAGCGAAAUUCCUUGUCGGGUAAGUUCC